rnacentral:rRNA from 1 species
AAAUUGGGCACGCGUAGAGCUUACCUGGUCUUGACAUCCACGGAAGUUUUCAGAGAUGAGAAGGUGCCUUCGGGAACCGUGAGACAGGUGCUGCAUGGCUGUCGUCAGCUCGUGUUGUGAAAUGUUGGGUUAAGUCCCGCAACGAGCGCAACCCUUAUCCUUUGUUGCCAGCGGUCCGGCCGGGAACUCAAAGGAGACUGCCAGUGAUAAACUGGAGGAAGGUGGGGAUGACGUCAAGUCAUCAUGGCCCUUACGACCAGGGCUACACACGUGCUACAAUGGCGCAUACAAAGAGAAGCGACCUCGCGAGAGCAAGCGGACCUCAUAAAGUGCGUCGUAGUCCGGAUUGGAGUCUGCAACUCGACUCCAUGAAGUCGGAAUCGCUAGUAAUCGUGGAUCAGAAUGCCACGGUGAAUACUUUUCCCCGGGCA